CGUCCGGGUGAGUAACACGUGGGUAACCUGCCCAUAAGACUGGGAUAACUCCGGACAACCGGGGCUAAUACAGGAUAACAUUUUGAACCGCAUGGUUCGAAAUUGAAAGGCGGCUUCGGCUGUCACUUAUGGAUGGACCCGCGUCGCAUUAGCUAGUUGGUGAGGUAACGGCUCACCAAGGCAACGAUGCGUAGCCGACCUGAGAGGGUGAUCGGCCUCACUGGGACUGAGACACGGCCCAGACUCCUACGCGAGGCAGCAGUAGGGAAUCUUCCGCAAUGGACGAAAGUCUGACGGAGCAACGCCGCGUGAGUGAUGAAGGCUUUCGGGUCGUAAAACUCUGUUGUUAGGGAAGAACAAGUGCUAGUUGAAUAAGCUGGCACCUUGACGGUACCUAACCAGAAAGCCACGGCUAACUACGUGCCAGCAGCCGCGGUAAUACGUAGGUGGCAAGCGUUAUCCGGAAUUAUUGGGCGUAAAGCGCGCGCAGGUGGUUUCUUAAGUCUGAUGUGAAAGCCCACGGCUCAACCGUGGAGGGUCAUUGGAAACUGGGAGACUUGAGUGCAGAAGAGGAAAGUGGAAUUCCAUGUGUAGCGGUGAAAUGCGUAGAGAUAUGGAGGAACACCAGUGGCGAAGGCGACUUUCUGGUCUGUAACUGACACUGAGGCGCGAAAGCGUGGGGAGCAAACAGGAUUAGAUACCCUGGUAGUCCACGCCGUAAACGAUGAGUGCUAAGUGUUAGAGGGUUUCCGCCCUUUAGUGCUGAAGUUAACGCAUUAAGCACUCCGCCUGGGGAGUACGGCCGCAAGGCUGAAACUCAAAGGAAUUGACGGGGGCCCGCACAAGCGGUGGAGCAUGUGGUUUAAUUGGAAGCAACGCGAAGAACCUUACCAGGUCUUGACAUCUUCUGACAACCCUAGAGAUAGGGCUUCUCUUUCGGGAGCAGAGUGACAGGUGGUGCAUGGUUGUCGUCAGCUCGUGUCGUGAGAUGUUGGGUUAAGUCCCGCAACGAGCGCAACCCUUGAUCUUAGUUGCCAUCAUUAGCAGUUGGGCACUCUAAGGUGACUGCCGGUGACAAACUGGAGGAAGGUGGGGAUGACGUCAAAUCAUCAUGCCCCUUAUGACCUGGGCUACACACGUGCUACAAUGGACGGUACAAAGAGCUGCAAGACCGCGGUGGAGCUAAUCUCAUAUAACACCGUUCUCAGUUCGGAUUGAUAGGCUGCAACUCGCCUCG
rnacentral:rRNA from 1 species